AACGCUGGCGGCGUGCUUAACACAUGCAAGUCGAACGGUGAUGUCAGAGCUUGCUCUGGCGGAUCAGUGGCGAACGGGUGAGUAACACGUGAGUAACCUGCCCCCGACUCUGGGAUAACUGCUAGAAAUGGUAGCUAAUACCGGAUAUGACGAUUGGCCGCAUGGUCUGGUCGUGGAAAGAAUUUCGGUUGGGGAUGGACUCGCGGCCUAUCAGGUUGUUGGUGAGGUAAUGGCUCACCAAGCCUACGACGGGUAGCCGGCCUGAGAGGGUGACCGGCCACACUGGGACUGAGACACGGCCCAGACUCCUACGGGAGGCAGCAGUGGGGAAUAUUGCACAAUGGGCGAAAGCCUGAUGCAGCAACGCCGCGUGAGGGAUGACGGCCUUCGGGUUGUAAACCUCUUUUAGUAGGGAAGAAGCGAAAGUGACGGUACCUGCAGAAAAAGCACCGGCUAACUACGUGCCAGCAGCCGCGGUAAUACGUAGGGUGCAAGCGUUGUCCGGAAUUAUUGGGCGUAAAGAGCUCGUAGGCGGUUUGUCGCGUCUGCUGUGAAAUCCCGAGGCUCAACCUCGGGUCUGCAGUGGGUACGGGCAGACUAGAGUGCGGUAGGGGAGAUUGGAAUUCCUGGUGUAGCGGUGGAAUGCGCAGAUAUCAGGAGGAACACCGAUGGCGAAGGCAGAUCUCUGGGCCGUAACUGACGCUGAGGAGCGAAAGCAUGGGGAGCGAACAGGAUUAGAUACCCUGGUAGUCCAUGCCGUAAACGUUGGGAACUAGAUGUGGGGACCAUUCCACGGUCUCCGUGUCGCAGCUAACGCAUUAAGUUCCCCGCCUGGGGAGUACGGCCGCAAGGCUAAAACUCAAAGGAAUUGACGGGGGCCCGCACAAGCGGCGGAGCAUGCGGAUUAAUUCGAUGCAACGCGAAGAACCUUACCAAGGCUUGACAUAUACCGGAAACAUGCAGAAAUGUGUGCCCCGCAAGGUCGGUAUACAGGUGGUGCAUGGUUGUCGUCAGCUCGUGUCGUGAGAUGUUGGGUUAAGUCCCGCAACGAGCGCAACCCUCGUUCUAUGUUGCCAGCACGUAAUGGUGGGAACUCAUAGGAGACUGCCGGGGUCAACUCGGAGGAAGGUGGGGAUGACGUCAAAUCAUCAUGCCCCUUAUGUCUUGGGCUUCACGCAUGCUACAAUGGCCGGUACAAAGGGCUGCGAUACCGUAAGGUGGAGCGAAUCCCAAAAAGCCGGUCUCAGUUCGGAUUGAGGUCUGCAACUCGACCUCAUGAAGUCGGAGUCGCUAGUAAUCGCAGAUCAGCAACGCUGCGGUGAAUACGUUCCCGGGCCUUGUACACACCGCCCGUCAAGUCAUGAAAGUCGGUAACACCCGAAGCCAGUGGCCUAACCGCAAGGGAGGAGCUGUCGAAGGUGGGAUCGGUGAUUAGGACUA
rnacentral:rRNA from 1 species